rnacentral:misc_RNA from 1 species
UUUCCGUAGGUGAACCUGCGGAAGGAUCAUUACUGAAAUGUAAUAACUUCUAUUGAAAGGUUCCAGAGUAGGCGCUACAACGCCGAAAUGACCUUCUCACCCUUGUGUACUCACUAUGUUGCUUUGGCGGGCCGUUAGGCUUCGGCUUGGCUACCGGCUUCGGCUGGUAAGCGCCCGCCAGAGGACCCCAAACUCUAAAUUUUAAUGUCGUCUGAGUACUAUAUAAUAGUUAAAACUUUCAACAACGGAUCUCUUGGUUCUGGCAUCGAUGAAGAACGCAGC